AGGUGUGGCAGGGUAGGGUGAGUGAGCGACUCUCUGGGUGCCUGGCACUGGGACAGUAUCAAACCACAGCAGUGGGGAAGUGGUGGAGUUACCAUCACUGGAGUUACCAUCACGUUGAGAAGACGUGUAACAGCCCAAUCAGUGACUAACCACUGUGACUCCAGAGACAUGGCAUUACUUUUAUGUUUUAAAAAAUCCAGCUUAAAGCCCACUUCAGAGCACUUCAGAGAAGAACUCAUCACAGCCUCCUUUACUGUUUUUUGUGGGACAUCUGACAUUUACCCAUCUGACAUUUAACUGUGUCAGAGAAAACUAUGGCAUAAGGAAUUGAGAUGAUCAAUCAAAUUUCUUGGACAAAUGUUUGUUAAUGCUCUGCAUU